rnacentral:rRNA from 1 species
ACGAAGGGGGCGAGCGUUGUUCGGAGUUACUGGGCGUAAAGAGCGCGUAGGCGGUUUGUUAAGUCUGCUAUGAAAGCACCUGGCUAAACUGGGUGAGGCUGGCGGAUACUGGCAAGCUAGAGUGAGACAGAGGCAGUUGGAAUUCCGCGUGUAGUGGUGAAAUGCGUAGAGAUGCGGAGGAACACCAGUGGCGAAGGCGGUCUGCUGGGUCUCAACUGACGCUGAGGCGCGAAAGCUAGGGGAGCGAACGGGA